rnacentral:misc_RNA from 1 species
AAAGUCGUAACAAGGUUUCCGUAGGUGAACCUGCGGAAGGAUCAUUACUAAAGAUUCACGUCUUUGGUUCAACUCGUGCACUGUUUACCCCUCUUCGGCAUUUCGGUGCUGUUGAGGCCCCUUUUCACCCUUUUUUUACUUUAAUUUGAUAACUUCUGUUAGGUGGCGAAUAAAAUAAAACUUUCAGCAACGGAUCUCUAGGCUCUU